GGUUACUGCUAUCGAGGUUCGACUAAGCCAUGCGAGUCGAAUGUAGCAAUACAUGGCGAACUGCUCAGUAACACGUGGACAACCUGCCCUUAGGUUGGGUAUAAACCCGGGAAACUGGGUAUAAUACCCGAUAGGUCUCGAUUGCUGGAAUGCAUCGAGAUUUAAAGCUCCGGCGCCUAAGGAUGGGUCUGCGGCCUAUCAGGUAGUAGUGGGUGUAGCGUACCUACUAGCCUACGACGGGUACGGGUUGUGAGAGCAAGAGCCCGGAGAUGGAUUCUGAGACACGAAUCCAGGCCCUACGGGGUGCAGCAGGCGCGAAAACUUUACAAUGCUGGCAACAGCGAUAAGGGAACCUCGAGUGCCAGGUUACAAAUCUGGCUGUCGAGAUGCCUAAAAAGCAUUUCAUAGCAAGGGCCGGGCAAGACCGGUGCCAGCCGCCGCGGUAACACCGGCGGCUCGAGUGGUAACCGUUAUUAUUGGGUCUAAAGGGUCUGUAGCCGGCCGGAUAAGUCUCUUGAGAAAUCUGGCAGCUUAACUGUCAGGCUUUCAGGAGAUACUGUCUGGCUCGAGGCCGGGAGAGGUGAGAGGUACUUCAGGGGUAGGGGUGAAAUCUUGUAAUCCUUGAAGGACCACCAGUGGCGAAGGCGUCUCACCAGAACGGACCUGACGGCAAGGGACGAAAGCUAGGGGCACGAACCGGAUUAGAUACC
rnacentral:rRNA from 1 species